AAUUCUAGCGCCAAUUUUUUUAAGUGAUUCCCUCUUUUUAUUUUUCCCUCUUAGCCAAAACCAUUCCUUUAGCUGUGCAUCAUUAAGUCCUCCAUCUCCUGCUUACUAUCGCACCUUCGCACCUCCAUCUCCUCCCUUGCAUCACCAUCAAAUCCUCUUUAUCACCAAGCCAUACCCAUACACAGAAGACCCAUCUCUUAAUCAAACUCCCUCUUUCACAGAAACCAGUGGCAGAUCUCCAUUUUCUUCCACACACACACCUUUUUUAAUCUGAAAUUACAUAUGAUAGAUAGGUUAUAAACUGGUAUUGAGUGUUACUUCGUGCUUAUCCAGGCCAGAUUGUUUCAAUUUUCAAGUUGAUUCCUCGCUUGAAGCCUGCUGAAUACAAGAAGUCUAGGUUACCUUGGAAUAGAACUAUGAACCAUGCAUAUGUGUUGUUGGGAAGUGUUGUCUGGGAGAGAUCAAGAAGAUGCUCAAAGGAAUAAGCUUAUGAUCCUCUUGCAUGGAAAAUUCAACCAAUAGCAGAUGCUACCAUUCACCUCGCUUAUUUUUACAAAAGUGAUUAUAGAGGAAUAUAGUUGCCUAGACAAAAGCCGAACACUUCACUAAGUAGAAGAUUUAAGAGACAUUUUCCUAACAAAGUGAAGAAGUCCCACAAGCUUGUCAUGAGCAAGUAGCAACUCUUUCACUAUGGGCAGCUAUUUCAAAGUGUUACUCAAACACUUCACAAGCAGCAGUGAAUUGAUUGAAUUAUCAUAGCAACAACCAAAGUUGUCUUCAACCCUAGUAGAAAAAGAUACUGGAAAAGAUAGGGAACAAGUGAGUCAAGGCAAAGAGGCGACUCAUUAGAGAUAGGGAAAAAGACAAAGCAGUAGAGUGAGCUGCUACAGUGAUAGGGGAGCACCGUUUGAGGAUUUUUGUACAUGUAUAUUUUUUAUACCCUUUGUAAUUUAGUUUGAUGUAAAUAUUUUUGUUCAUAUGUAUCUUUUAUACUAGUUGAGCAGUUGUACAGUAUAAUUUAUAAUGAUAUUAUUUUAGUUUUCUUUUCUGUAAAAUUUAGACUUUUGUGUUUAUAUUGGAUACAUUAAAUAAAAUUG